UGUGAGUAGAGAGCAGAGGACUGUGGAAACAACGAGCUUCAAUUUGUUGCUGAAGACAGAUGAUGACUGUUACAUAGACCUCGAAGCUGUAUUUAAUAGGAUUGUCCAAAAGAAUCUGGAUGGGCCUAAUUUUUGGUGGGGAAAUUUCAGACUGAAUUGGGCAGUUGACCGAACCGGAAAGUGGCAGGAGUUGGAGUACCCGAGCCCCGCUUACCCUGCCUUUGCAUGUGGGUCAGGAUAUGUGAUCU
rnacentral:lncRNA from 1 species